rnacentral:rRNA from 1 species
UACGUAGGGGGCAAGCGUUGUGCGGAAUCAUUGGGCGUAAAGCGCGUGUAGGCGGCCAGAAAAGUCCGCUGUGAAAACUCGAGGCUCAACUUCGAGCUGUCGGUGGAAACUUUCUGGCUAGAGUCCGGAAGAGGAGAAUGGAAUUCCUGGUGUAGCGGUGAAAUGCGCAGAUAUCAGGAAGAACACCAGUGGCGAAGGCGGCUCACUGGCCCGGUACUGACGCUGAGGUGCGAAAGCGUGGGGAGCAAACAGG